UGACGGUGAGUUUAGGAAACGCCGAGCGGCAAAACAGAUGUAGUUAUUUGUUGAUUGAUUAAACGGACAACAAAGUUUUUCCGAUGGCUAACACUGGAGAAAUCAUCAUCCUCAGUGAUGAUGAAGACUGUGAAGCCAUAUCGUGCAAUGAACCCUCGGUCCUCAUCGUGGAGACGGAGGAUGUGAAGAAGAGUGAGUGUGCUGUACCUCCCACUGCUCUGGAUGAAGACUUGGUCAUCACCUUCUCCCGCACGGCUGAUGUCCUUUCUCACGCACGCUACGACUGUCCCAUACAUUCCUUCACAGCUACGGAUUGUGAGGUCUCUGCUCCUGUGUCCAGUAACCAGCUCAUGUGUGAUCAGUGCUUCUGCUACAUCUGCGACAAGCUGGCCUCAUUAUGUGUUCUGUGGUGUUUCAAAGAUGUGUGCCACUGCAACAGCCACAACAGGAGCGAUUUUUGGAACAACCAAAGAAACUGCGCGCUGCUGGGAGGAUUGAAGACUUUUAACCUCACUUUAUUGGAAAUAGACUCUCACCUCCGAAAUGCAGAGACAAUGCUGCAGAGCUUCAGACGAGGCCUCGCCACCCUGUUCACUGCUUUCGUGAAGGGAAGAGUGCCUGAGGAGUGCGGUCUGAGCCAAUCACGCCAGAAUCGCGUUUAUGAUUACACUCCGGUGUACGAGUUUGUGUGCUCCUUCCUGAACAAAGCAGAUAAACAGGACGGCAGAGCUGCUGCCAUCAUGAGGCUUGGAGCCACUGAGGACUUUAUUAAACAUUUUCAAGUCUCAGGGUCUUUCACCCCACAGUCUGCCAUGGCUAAUGCUGGUAUAGCCAGACUAGUGUUAUUGCAGAGGGUCGUAGAGUCUGUACAGAGACAGAUGGUGAUGGCUGAUUUCCCACCAGCGUUCAGACUCAAACUGCAGGAGUUUUACAAGGGCCUGAAUUUCCCCACUGAGCUGAAGAGCAUGAAGAACUGUCUGAGUGUUCGUCCUUGGGAUGAUGUCCUGCUGGUGUCCGUGAUGAAAGGGCAGAACGUGUCGGGCUUCCGCAAAGACAAAGGCAAGAAUGACUUCCUUAGGGAGCAGAUCUCUGUAGUUCUACUGAGAACAGAACUACUACAGCGACAGCACAGAUACAGAGAAUUGUGUCGCUACCUACGAGUUGUCGAGACAGACAACCCCAAACUCUUCCACCAGUUGCAGGACGUCAUCCCAUACUUCACGUGCAUGAUGGGGGACUUGGCAACUGCUCUGAGCAGUUUGCUCCCCACAGUGAACGCCCCCGCCACCCGCUUUACGCCACAACUCUUCCUCUUCUAUCUCUGCAUCUUUAAAACUGCAACAGCACCAAAGCUGGCGGUCAUGCAGCCAGCAGAGCUGUCCUCUUCUGAUGCAGCGUGGGAGCCGAUUAAAGAUGCUGUGCCGCUGACACAUGUUACUCUGGUCAGGUUUGCUCUCAGGGUUCAGAAAUGCUGCUCUGCCGUCUACACCGAUGCUCAGUGUUGGACCAGUAUACUCAAAGUUGCUAACACAAGCAACGCUCUGCAAGAACCGAGGCCAGAGUUUCUCCACGAAGCGACGGUUGUUGUGCAUUCAAUCCUUCAGGACAAGUACGGGUCAAACAUUCAGAUUCCACGAUUCUUUGUGCAGGAGUACCCAGAUCAGGCCUUGUUGCUGGUGGUAACGGGAGCUUUAUGUUUGAGAAUCCUUGAUGCUCCUCUGAGUCCGGCCCUCCCUGUGCUCAACACGUUUAAGGGGAACGUGUGGGCUCUCAACUGGCUGUGGAGCAGUUUGUCCACCAGCCCCGAACGCCUCAACUCCUUCCUGCUGGAGUUCUCCAAGGAGACUGAGAUCAUGACAGAUGGGGAUCAUUUAUUACCAUUACUUUCCACCACCACCCCCUCAGUCUCCUUCAAGUGAGGACCAGCAGUCCAGUGGACUUCAAACACGCUGUUAAGUAAAGGCUCAGUGUCAGCUGCUUAUCGUCUCUCCCAUCACUGGCUCCAUUUGCACAUAGAACAACCAAACUCCUGACCCCUCGCUGAUGUUUCUGUCAAACAUCGACUCCCAGCGCCUCCUCUUCUGCACACUGGUGACGGAGGAGCCACAGGAAAAUGUCAGAUUUUUUUUUACAGACGUUACAAUGUACCUGAAGGGACUUCUAACACAUCCUCAGUGUGAUUCAGCGUAAAUCCAAUCUGAAAGACACUUUAUGAUGAUUAUUUCAGUUUUUUAAUUCAAUGACUUUCUGGAAGUAGUUUUGUUGUUACAAAUGCCCAAAAGAUGUAAUCAUUUUAUGUUGGAAAAUAAAUGGAAAAUAUGA